AUGGUACCAGGGGGAGCAUGUGGGGCCAGGGAGACUGUGGCUGUACCGGGUACCCUGCAUUUCCCAGGGUGACCAACAUGCUUUCUCCACUUCCAGGUGUUGUAAAUAAAAUCGCAGGGCCAAGGCCUUUAUUAAGAAGCAGCUCUUUUAUUGGAAUGGGGGUCACAGGGAUGCCGACACCUGCUCCUGCUGCUCUGCCAGUUCAACGUGGAGAGGAAGUCCCAAGUGCAGUCCCGUCCGAAGGCAGGAAUGGGAGUUCCAACCUCACCAGCACGUCAAGAACGCAACAGACUCUGCUUUGGUUUCCCAGGGCAUGUAUCCAAAUGAGCUGGAACUAAGCUGAAUUUCCUUCUUCCAGAGACAUCAGAUAUUCGUUCUCAUUCCUAUCCCUUUUCAGUAGUUCAGCACUGUG
rnacentral:lncRNA from 12 species